UUCCGGUUGAUCCUGCCGGAGGCUACCGCUAUUGGAGUUCGAUUAAGCCAUGCGAGUCGCGAGUCUUAGGGACUCGGCGUACCGCUCAGUAACACGUGGGUAACCUGCCCUAUGCUGGGGGAUAACCUCGGGAAACUGAGAAUAAUACCCCAUAGUUCACCACGCCUGGAACGGUGGGUGGACCAAAGCUCCGGCGGCAUAGGAUGGGCCUGCGGCGUAUCAGGUUGUAGGGGGUGUAAUGUACCCUCUAGCCCUCUACGCGUACGGGUGUUGAGAGACAUCGCCCGGAGAUGGAUUCUGAGACACGAAUCCAGACCCUACGGGGUGCAGCAGGCGCGAAAACUUGGCAAUGCGAGAAAUCGUGACCAGGGAACUCCAAGUGCAUCGGGUAAGACCGAUGCUUUUCUUGACUCUUCAAAGGUCUUGGAAUAAGGGGUGGGUAAGGACGGUGCCAGCCGCCGCGGUAAUACCGGCGCCCCAAGUGGUAGUCGCUUUUAUUGGGCCUAAAACGUCCGUAGCCGGUCUGGUACAUUCGUGGGUAAAUCAACCAGCUCAACUGGUUGAAUUCUGCGAGCACGGCCAGACUUGGGACCGGGAGAGGUGUGGGGUACUCUCAGGGUAGGGGUAAAAUCCUGUCAUCCUGAGAGGACCACCUGUUGCGAAGGCGCCACACUAGAACGGAUCCGACGGUCAGGGACGAAGCCUAGGGGCACGAACCGGAUUAGAUACCCGGGUAGUCCUAGGUGUAAACGCUGUGGACUUGAUGUUGGGGGCGCUCCGAGCGCACUCAGUGUCGAAGCGAAGGUGAUAAGUCCACUGCCUGGGGAGUACGGUCGCAAGGCUGAAACUUAAAGGAAUUGGCGGGGGAGCACCGCAACCUGAGGAUUGUGCGGUUUAAUUGGAGUCAACGCCGGA
rnacentral:rRNA from 1 species